AUGCCUUAAACUCAUGAGUUAGGAAAAUAAUGAUUCAAGCUGAUAUACAAAUCCUCAUUGCUAAUGUAAGACAAAUUUUUCAGUGGGUCAACUUUUCCCCUAAGGUGACUUGCCUACUUUGUGAGAUGCCUGGGAGUUGCCAUCUGCCUG
ensembl:snRNA U12 U12 minor spliceosomal RNA